AUUGAACGCUGGCGGCAGGCUUAACACAUGCAAGUCGAGCGAGCGGCGGACGGGUGAGUAAUGUCUGGGAAACUGCCCGAUGGAGGGGGAUAACUACUGGAAACGGUAGCUAAUACCGCAUACCAUCAGAUUUGCACAGAUGGGAUUAGCUAGUAGGUGGGGUAAUGGCUAACCUAGGCGACGAUCCCUAGCUGGUCUGAGAGGAUGACCAGCAACACUGGAACGGAGACACGGUCCAGACUCCUACGGGAGGCAGCGGUGGGGAAUAUUGGACAAGGGGGGCAAUCCUGAUGCAGCCAUGCCGCGUGUGUGAAGAAGGCCUUCGGGUGGUAAAGCACUUUCAGCGAGGAGGCGUUACUCGCAGAAGAAGCACCGGCUAACUCCGUGCCAGCAGCCGCGGUAAUUC
rnacentral:rRNA from 1 species